UGCAGUCAAUUGGAUAGAGGCUAAAUGUACAUUGGCGUCCAAAAAUUAUAUAUGUAUUUAUUUCAAGUUACGGGAUAAUGUCUAUGGAUUCAAAUAAUUGGAAAUUCAUUGUUUAAUGAUUUAAUACAUCGUAAGCAAAAUAUAACUACGAAUCACUCAUGUGUGUUUUUAUAAGUUUACAACAAUCAGAAAAUACGAAUAAUUUCCAUAACGCGUCUGUCGUAUGCGUGUGAAUCUGCGUCCCAAAAGCGCUCGUCAGACGAUGUAAACACGUGUAGCUGGUAUUCCCGAUGAUGGCGAUCUUUUGAUGAUUUAUCAGAGUAAUGUCACACUGAUUUGAAAAAAAAGGCUGGAAGAAAAUUUUAGCUGGUACCUGCUUUGUCUUGAGAUUUACAUAAAUGAUGUUCUUAUUGGUGAUCAUUUACCCGCACCCUUAUCCUGGUGUCAUAUACAAGAUAAAAUGAUCGAAAGAAAAACCUGAGCUUUAGAAACAGGAAGACUGUGUUUUUGAAGAGAGAAGAGGACCAGAACUAAGAAGUCAUACAAUAAACACAUUGACAUAAAAAGAAAUUGCAAUUUUGAGUUUGCAUGCAUAUGUCAGGUUUAAAUGUUGUCACAGAAUUUUUUUUCAGAAAGUCCCUUUAUCUUCUUGAAUCAAUAAAACAAAUGA